AAUCAGACAAAGAUAAGAAUGAGUAUAAUAGAUAAAUCAAAGGAGUCUCUCUAGCUUAUAUCAGAUGAAUGGCCUAGGCAAGAAAUGGUCUCAAAAUAAUGGCAUUGGCCAAGUCUCUUCCAUAGCUCAAGGAUGUUGCCUACUCUAAGUCCAUAAGGUCAACUCAAGUUACAGACAGAGGUCCAAUAGUCCACCAAUAUAUUUUUUAGGGUUUUUGUUUUUUAUUAAGUGUUUUAAGGUCCUA
rnacentral:lncRNA from 1 species